CUUGCCCAAGGCUAGGCGGGGCAGUCUCGUGCCGCCCCACGGGUGGGUGAAGAAGGCCUCGGGUUGAAAGCCUUUUGUGGGAAAGAAUCCAGCCGGCUAUACUGGUUGGGUGACGGUACCCAAAGAUAAGCACCGGCUAACUUCGUGCCAGCAGCCGCGGUAAUACGAAGGGUGCAAGCGUUACUCGGAAUUACUGGGCGUAAAGCGUGCGUAGGUGGUCGUUUAAGUCCGUUGUGAAAGCCCUGGGCUCAACCUGGGAACUGCAGUGGAUACUGGAUGACUAGAAUGUGGUAGAGGGUAGCGGAAUUCCUGGUGUAGCAGUGAAAUGCGUAGAGAUCAGGAGGAACAUCCAUGGCGAAGGCAGCUACCUGGACCAACAUUGACACUGAGGCACGAAAGCGUGGGGAGCAAACAGGAUUAGAUACCCUGGUAGUCCACGCCCUAAACGAUGCGAACUGGAUGUUGGGUGCAAUUUGGCACGCAGUAUCGAAGCUAACGCGUUAAGUUCGCCGCCUGGGGAGUACGGUCGCAAGACUGAAACUCAAAGGAAUGACGGGG
rnacentral:rRNA from 1 species